UGUUUAAAUUCUUAUUUUCAAUGAAAUAUUUUUUUAUGAUAUUUAAACUUUGAGCAUGCUAGUUACUAAUCAUGUUUGUUAAAGUAGUCUAAGAUGAUUCAUGCCUAGGAAGAUGAAGUGUGCUGCAUCCUAGAUUAGCAUACUUAGGUAGAUACUUCAUGCUACACCGAAGUUGGAUCUUCCUAAUACUCUUUAUGCUUUUAUUUUAAAAGGCUUGUAGCCAAUUUGCAUGCCUCUCCAAAAGAUAAAAAUUAAGAACACAGUCCCUAAUGCAAUGCUACGCGGUGGAUUCCAAACCCUAGAUCUAUUUACUUUGAUAAAUUUCAAUUCGUACUCAUAGAUUAAUUUAGUUAAAUCAAGUUAGCAAAUCCUUCUUCUUGAUUUAUUUUUAAAAGAAAAAUAGCUUAUUCUUCAAUCCCUGUGGACCGACACCCGUAAUCACUAUCCUACAGG
rnacentral:lncRNA from 1 species